rnacentral:lncRNA from 1 species
CGCGGGGGAAACAGCGAGGCUGGCGCAGCGCCGAGGCCGCGGCCCUGGGGGCCCGCAAUCCACGCCACGGAAUCCCCGAGUGAGCAGGGGUGAGCGCAGCCACUGCCCAACGCAAACCGUGAAGAAGCUUCUGGAAGAGCAGAGGCGCCGCCAGCAGCAGCAGCCCGACGCUGGCGGGGUGCAGGGACAAUUUCUCCCUCCCCCAGAGCAGCCCCUGACCCCAUCUGUGAAUGAGGCUGUGACUGGCUGGACCCUGGAGAGUUUCUGCACCCCCUUCAGGACCCCCACAGUUCCCCGCUGUGGUCCCUGGACCAUCGCUGGAGGUGGCCCGAGCUCACAUGCUGGCUUUGGGGCCACAGCAGCUGCUGGCCCAGGAUGAGGAGGGGGACACGUGAGUAUAAGGGAUAGGGUUGUCUGCAGACUCUUGGCUUGGUGGGGGCUGUUCUCACGGCUGUCCCCCACCUGUCCUCAGGCUCCUUCACCUGUUUGCGGCUCGGGGGCUGCGCUGGGCGGCAUAUGCUGCGGCUGAGGUGCUCCAGGUGUACCGGCGUCUUGACAUUCGUGAGCAUAAGGGCAAGACCCCUCUCCUGGUGGCGGCUGCUGCCAACCAGCCCCUGAUUGUGGAGGAUCUGUUGAACCUGGGAGCAGAGCCCAAUGCCGCUGACCAUCAGGGACGUUCGGUCUUGCACGUGGCCGCUACCUACGGGCUCCCAGGAGUUCUCUUGGUAUGGCCAGCUGGCAGGCAGGGGUUUGUCUGGGGGGUAGACUGGUUGCCCAGAUUUUGGCUUCCAGGGCCAGGAGGCCAGGGGAUACCCUUACCCAGCAGUCUGCCUUCUCUUCCUCC